rnacentral:rRNA from 1 species
GUGGGGAAUAUUGGACAAUGGGCGAAAGCCUGAUCCAGCCAUGACGCGUGAGUGAUGAAGGCCUUAGGGUUGUAAAGCUCUUUCAGUAGGGAAGAUAAUGACGGUACCUACAGAAGAAGCCCCGGCUAACUUCGUGCCAGCAGCCGCGGUAAUACGAAGGGGGCUAGCGUUGUUCGGAUUUACUGGGCGUAAAGCGCACGUAGGCGGAUUGGUCAGUUAGAGGUGAAAUCCUGGAGCUCAACUCCAGAACUGCCUUUAAUACUGCCAGUCUAGAGUCCAGAAGAGGUGAGUGGAACUCCUAGUGUAGAGGUGGAAUUCGUAGAUAUUAGGAAGAACACCAGUGGCGAAGGCGGCUCACUGGUCUGGUACUGACGCUGAGGUGCGAAAGCGUGGGGAGCAAACAGGAUUAGAAACCCUUGUAGUCC